rnacentral:rRNA from 1 species
UACGUAGGGUGCAAGCGUUUAAUCGGAAUUACUGGGCGUAAAGCGUGCGCAGGCGGUUGUGCAAGACCGAUGUGAAAUCCCCGGGCUUAACCUGGGAAUGGCAUUGGUGACUGCACGGCUAGAGUGUGUCAGAGGGGGUAGAAUUCCACGUGUAGCAGUGAAAUGCGUAGAGAUGUGGAGGAAUACCGAUGGCGAAGGCAGCCCCCUGGGAUAACACUGA